GACGUAGGGGACGAGCGUUGUCCGGAUUCAUUGGGCGUAAAGCGCGCGUAGGCGGUUACGCAAGUCGGUUGUGAAAAUCCGGGGCUCAACCCCGGACCUGCAUCCGAUACUGCGGGGCUAGAGUGCAGAAGGGGCAACUGGAAUUCUCGGUGUAGCGGUGAAAUGCGUAGAUAUCGAGAGGAACACCUGCGGCGAAGGCGGGUUGCUGGGCUGACACUGACGCUGAUGCGCGAAAGCUAGGGGAGCGAACGGG
rnacentral:rRNA from 1 species